AUUGUUUUACCGCCGGGUAACGUCUAUGAUUCUCUCCGUUAGGCCAUUGAAGGAGGAACUAUAGGCGUUUUAUUUU
rnacentral:ncRNA from 1 species